rnacentral:tRNA from 1 species
UGGGAUAUAGCCAAGCGGUAAGGCAAUGGACUUUGACUCCAUCAUUCGUUGGUUCGAAUCCAACUAUCCCAGCCA